rnacentral:misc_RNA from 1 species
UCCGGUUCCUCACCGGCAGUCUCUUUAGAGUCCUCAGCUUAACCUGUUAGUAACUAAAGACAAGGGUUGCGCUCGUUACGGGACUUAACCCAACAUCUCACAACACGAGCUGACGACAGCCAUGCAGCACCUGUCUCUGGGUUCCUUUCGGCACUCCGACCUCUCAGCCAGAUUCCCAGGAUGUCAAGGGUAGGUAAGGUUCUUCGCGUUGCAUCGAAUUAAACCACAUGCUCCACCGCUUGUGCGGGCCCCCGUCAAUUCAUUUGAGUUUCAACCUUGCGGCCGUACUUCCCAGGCGGAGAACUUAUCGCGUUAGCUUCGAUACUGCUAGGUUCCCCUAACAACAUCUAGUUCUCAUCGUUUACAGCGUGGACUAC